CGUCCCGUAGCUCAGUUGGUUAGAGUGCUGGUCUUAUGAGCCAAAGGUCGCGGUUCGAGCCCCGCCGGGACCA
rnacentral:tRNA from 1 species